AUGUGCAACUUUAGAAAGCCGGUCAAUGACGACAAGAAUAGCAUCAUUACCUUUCUGCGAUUUGGGAAACCCAGUGACGAAGUCCAUUUCAACAUGGUCACAUUUCCAUUCAGGAACAGUGAUAGGUUGCAGAGUUCCAGCAGGCCUUUGAUGCUCUGCUUUGAUAUGGCGGCAAACGUCACACUCAACAACAUAACGAGCAAUGUCUUGCUUCAUAUUAGACCAUCAGAAUCUCUGACGAAUGUCUUGGUACAUCUUUGUACUACCGAGAUGAAUAGACAAAGGUGUAUCAUGAGCUUCUUUAUAACCUCCUGUGUCAUAUCCUAG
rnacentral:rRNA from 1 species